AUGAACCGGUAUGGUAUGCCAUUCAUACCCUUUGUUGGUCUUAACCAUCACCGGAAGACCACUGUUUUUGCUUGUGCCAUAGUUUCGGACGAGACCGAAGAGACAUAUGCGUGGCUACUGGAGACUUUUUUGAGGUCCAUGUGUCAAAAGAUGCCGAAGAGUGUUAUCACGGACGCCGACGCUGCGAUGAUCAAGGCAAUUCGCCAAGUCUUGCCAGACGUGUGGCACCGUAUAUGUACGUGGCAUAUAGAAAAAAAUGAAGAUUCACCUCAGUCACAAGUCCUUGAAGGAGUUCCGAACUCUUCUGUA
rnacentral:rRNA from 1 species